ACAGACCGGGUAUGUGGCUCGGCCUGCGGUUUCCUGCGCCUUUCCUGUCUCUGAGUUCUACUGCUUUAGAACGGGGCAGCCACAGGGAUGAAGAACUAUGGGUUGAGCUCGUCAGAGAAGCAACAGUUGCUGAGGACAGUGGACACUGUGUUUAGAAAGUUGAUAAAGGCUAUUUGAACCGCUAUUACUUAUGGAAUAAGAACAUCCCUGGCUGUCUCCUUAGGUAACUUGGCUAAAGUCUGUUUUUCUUUUGGGGAAAACCUGAGGUAGGGUGCCGAGGCAAUCCUCAAAGUCAUACACACGUCAUAUUGAUAACUCGCGACUAUGAAUCUCAAGACGUGGUAUAAACCAAUCACAGGGCCAGCAACCAGAACUUCUAAGCAGACCUCUGUACAUGGGCUGGAGUGGAUCAAAGGGAAAACGGAGGGAAUCAAUCGAUGUAAACUACACAUCAACUUUAAAAAGAAGUCGCCAAGGGAAU
rnacentral:lncRNA from 1 species